GGGUGUAUAGCUCAGUUGGUAGAGCAGCGGACUUUUAAUCCGAAAGUCUUGGGUUCAACCCCCAAUAUACCCA
rnacentral:tRNA from 1 species